AGGCCUAACACAUGCAAGUCGAGCGGAAACGAUCCUAGCUUGCUAGAAGAUGACGAGCGGCGGACGGGUGAGUAACGCGUAGAAAUCUACCUAGUAGUGGGGGAUAGCCCAGAGAAAUUUGGAUUAAUACCGCAUACGCCCUACGGGGGAAAGCGGGGGAUCUUCGGACCUCGUGCUAUUAGAUGAGUCUGCGUCGGAUUAGCUUGUUGGUGAGGUAAUGGCUCACCAAGGCGACGAUCCGUAGCUGGUCUGAGAGGAUGACCAGCCACACUGGAACUGAGACACGGUCCAGACUCCUACGGGAGGCAGCAGUGGGGAAUAUUGCACAAUGGGCGCAAGCCUGAUGCAGCCAUGCCGCGUGUGUGAAGAAGGCCUUAGGGUUGUAAAGCACUUUCAGCAGUGAGGAAAGGGGUGUCGUUAAUAGCGCCAUCCUGUGACGUUAACUGCAGAAGAAGGACCGGCUAACUCCGUG
rnacentral:rRNA from 1 species